rnacentral:rRNA from 1 species
AUUGAACGCUGGCGGCGUGCCUAAUACAUGCAAGUCGAACGAGGUGCCCUUGUAGCAAUACGAGGGUAUCCUAGUGGCGAACGGGUGAGUAAUGCGUUGGUGACCUGCCCCAAAGUGUGGGAUAACAGUCCGAAAGGAUUGCUAAUACCGCAUGUGGUCAUUGGAUCUAGAAACCGAUGACUAAAGGAGUAAUCCGCUUUGGGAGGGGCCUGCGUCCCAUCAGCUAGUUGGUAGGGUAACGGCCUACCAAGGCUACGACGGGUAGGGGACCUGAGAGGGUGACCCCCCACAAUGGAACUGAAACACGGUCCAUACACCUACGGGUGGCAGCAGUAGGGAAUAUUGCACAAUGGGGGCAACCCUGAUGGAGCAACGCCGCGUGCAGGAUGAAUGCCUUCGGGUUGUAAACUGCUUUUAUUAGUGACGAUUAUGACGGUAACUAAUGAAUAAGGACCUGCUAACUACGUGCCAGCCGCCGCCGUAA